AGUGAACGCUGGCGGUAGGCCUAACACAUGCAAGUCGAACGGCAGCACAGUAAGAGCUUGCUCUUACGGGUGGCGAGUGGCGGACGGGUGAGGAAUACAUCGGAAUCUACUUUUUCGUGGGGGUUAACGUAGGGAAACUUACGCUAAUACCGCAUACGACCUACGGGUGAAAGCAGGGGAUCUUCGGACCUCGCGCGAUUGAAUGAGCCGAUGUCGGAUUAGCUAGUUGGCGGGGUAAAGGCCCACCAAGGCGACGAUCCGUAGCUGGUCUGAGAGGAUGAUCGGCCACACUGGAACUGAGACGCGGUCCAGACUCCUGCGGGAGGCAGCAGUGGGGAAUAUUGGACAAUGGGCGCAAGCCUGAUCCAGCCAUACCGCGUGGGUGAAGAAGGCCUUCGGGUUGUAAAGCCCUUUUGUUGGGAAAGAAAAGCAGCAGGUUAAUACCCCGCUGUUCUGACGGUACCCAAAGAAUAAGCACCGGCUAACUUCGUG
rnacentral:rRNA from 1 species